UGCGUGCGUGCCAUCUGCAUACGCUCUGUACUCUUCUCAGUACACCUUCAGCCAGCUUAAUCUGGCAAGUCUGUAGAGCUCCAGACUUGCCAACCUAAGCUGGUGAGUCUGUAGAGAGAGCUCCAGACUCACUCUGCCUUUUUACCCUUUUCUUCAAAUCCCUCCUUAACUUUUGCCUGGCAACAGGGCAAUUUUUCACACACAACAUGGCUUCAAUCUCUCAACAAAUGCUCCCAACUCACUCAAUUUCCGCUCCAUCCACACAAUUUACACAUCAAAACAUAGCGAUUUUCCUCACUGUCAUUAGUUAGUUUUCCUUAGUAGACAGUUUUCCAGUUACACAAGGUUUUGUAACAGCAAGAAACGGCGGUUUUAACUUCUCAUUGUACACUACAAAUUUAAGCUUUGUUCAUAGAGCUGGCAGUAGCCCACGUUUAGCUCAGCGAGUAGAGAAGGCUUAGCGGUCCUGGUUCAAAACCUCCCAGCAGCAGUAUGUUUUGAGCACACACCUCAGCUUUUUUGCCUCUUUUCAGCAGACCAUUUGCAGCUACACCAGUCACUACUUUACAUCCUUUCUUUUUUUGGUGGAUAUACCAGUGCUUACAGCUGUCCUGUGCCAGAUGUUCUGUUGACCCACUGAGAGAGGCAUAAUUGGAGAAACAUCAGGAAGACUGAAGCUGAUCGCAGGAAUCAAGGAGGACCUCGAGAUCUUCACCACCAGCUCCCUCACAAGGAAAUCUUCCGAAGUCCACUGUAGGCACGGCCCAGAAGAUGGAUAAACCCAGCAUUUCGUGAACACACUGGAACUAAUCUAUCUUCAUAACAGAGUGUUUUUCUAAACAUGGAGAAAAAGAUGGAAGAAACCGAUCUGAAUUUCCGUCUCCUGCCUCCGAUGAUCACUGUGACCUCAGAGGGCAACUGGUGUGCAAAGCUGGAACUGGAGUGAGGGAGAGAGGAGUCAUCAUCCAGCUUGAAAGAAAACAUCCGGCUGAUCAGCAGGAGGAGAAAAGUCUGACGGAGCAGCAGAGGAACAUUUUCAGCCGUUUGCACUCAGCUCAGCUACUACAGAGAAAAUGAUGAGCUCAACACAGAAGGACCAACACGGACCGAAAAGUCAGCGCUCUCAGGAGGCCGACAAACCUCACAGAAGAAAGAGAGAGAAAAACUACAGCUGUGACGAGUGUGGGAAGGAUUUUUCUCGCAAAGCUUCACUAUCAAGGCAUCAAGUCAUCCACACUGGAGAGAGACCGUUCAGCUGUGACUUGUGUGGAAAGUCUUUUCCCUGGGAUAGUUGCCUAAGAAAACACCAACUCUUCCACAGUGGAGUUAAAGCGUACAGCUGUGAUCAGUGUGACAGAGCUUUUGAUCGCAGUUGCAGCUUACAGAGGCAUCUGGUUACCCACUCUGGAACUAAGACAUACAGCUGUGACAUUUGUGGAAAAACUUUCAGUCGGCGAGACAGCCGAAAUAGACACCUACGCAUUCACACCAGACAUGUUGUGUACUGGUGUGAUCGGCAUGGCCAACGGUUUAUAACAGAUGCACAGUAACAAAGCCACAUGUUUACCCACACUGAGGAGAAACCUUAUAAAUGUGACCUGUGUGAGAAGACUUUUGAACUGAAAAAAAGCAGAGCGACGCAGAUGGAUCCAGUUCUCAACCCUGUCAUCGCUGUGGUGGUGGGAAAGACUUUUGUUGUGACCUUUGUGGAAAAUCUUUCGGUCAUGCAAAGAGCCUAAAAAUACAUCAACGUAGACACACUGGAGAGAAACUGAAAUACUGCAAAGAAUGUGGGAGAAGCUUCACCAGAUCACAUGAGUUAAAACACCAUGAAGUCAUUCACAGUGGGGUUAAAAAGCACCUCUGUGAUCAGUGUGGGUCAUCGUUCACCACUGCAGGUGAGCUUAAAACACACAAACGAGUCCACACAGGAGAGAAACCAUACAAGUGCACACACGGUGACAAGAGCUUCUCACAAUCAAGUAGUCGUAACCAUCAUGAACAUACCCACGUGGAAGGAAACUACAGCUGUGACCGGUGUGACAAGACUUUCAGGAAUCUCAGUUUAUACUCUGAACACAAACGAUCCCACGCUGCUGAUAAACUGUUUCACUGCUACAAAUGUGCAAAAACCUUCACUUCACUAUCUGUUCUGUGCAAACAUCAGCGUGAUCACGCGGGCGGAAAUCAUUCCCAUCUCCGGAUCACGGUGAAUCUGGUGUCAGGGUCAGACUUAAAACUGUUGAGAUCAGGCUCCACAGAGUUCAGCUGGAAUCUCAUGUAAAGAACUGAUGAGGCUGCUGUAAAUAUAAAUGUUCCUGCAGUUACAUCUUAAGCUUUCUAAACUCUUCUACUUUAGUGUUCUUAUCGAGUGGUUAGCUUUGUUUUGUUGGAAGAAGCAAUCUGUUGUUAUGUAAUCAAGUUGUUAUUGAAUGUAUUUUGAUCCAUGUGUUCUGUAGGUGUUCUUUGUUCAGGCUGUCUGUGUUAUGAAACGUUGCAACGGUUAAAUAAAAAAUCCAAAUGUUCAAUAAAGAAAUGGUUUAAUGACA